GGCCCAAUGGUCUAGUAGUAUGAUUCGCGCUUCGGGUGUUCUCCCGGUGCAUUGCAUCUAAAAUGCGCGAGGUCCCGGGUUCAAUUCCCGGUUGGGCCC